rnacentral:tRNA from 1 species
GGCCGCGGUGGCCGAGUGGUUAGCUUUGCGUACUGCGAUUCGGAAGGUUCGGGUUCAAAUCCCCGUGCGACCA